AGUCUAAGAAGUAGAACGGCAGACCGGAGCCGCUGGUAAAGCAAGACGUAAGCACCGGGUGAGCUUGGGUUGAAUCCAAGCAUUCAUUCUACCAGAUCGUCUCUAGGCUUUCACUCGGACCUUGAGAAGGUGAAUCCAGAGGGAAGAGAGAAGACCGUUACAGAAGGAGGCCGGUUUGCGUGUUAGUCUGCUACCUGUUGGGAGCCAUUGGAGGACAUUUGGCGGACAUCUUGUUUUGGGAAGGUCAUAACCACAAACCAUCCAGGAGAAUGUUGCUAUUGGGAUGACCUUUGUGACCUCACCAUUGCCCGCCCCCGUAAAGAUCAACCACUAAUCAGGAACCCUGAGGGAUGUGGUUGGCUGAAUCCAGUGAUGGACAGGUGACCAGCCAGCCAUCUAGCUGCCC